rnacentral:lncRNA from 1 species
CGACUCCCGCAAUCCCCGCCAGUCUCUCUUCGCCCUCUACCCUACCGGCGUUUCGCAAGAUCCCUGGCUCGUCCCGCUCCGGCGCGGAUUUCCUCCAGGGCUCGACGUGAGAGGUGAUGGGGUGCGCUACGGUGCAUUCGGGCUCGUUUGUUGAGAAAAGUUAGUGAGGUUUAGUCAUUAGGAAACCCUUCAAGCUUACGCACCGCACCAUCAAGCCCUAACUCCAAAGUGAUGAUGAAGAAGAGACACCAGAGAGUGCUCUCCCCUACCUGCCCCCUACCCGACAAGGACAGGGUGAGAACGAGAAGGUGGCUAUCUGCAAAUCAGGAAAAGGGAUCUCACCAGAACCUGAAUGUACGGGUACUCUGAUCUCAGACUUCUAGCCCCUAGAACUGCGAAGUAAGUGUCUGUGGUUUAAGCCACCCAGUCUAUGGCAUUUAGUUAUAGUGGCCCAAGCUAGGACAGACCUUAUGGUAAGCCCCAGAGGAAAAAUCACAGUGAGGUCCCUGGGACUGGAGCAAAGCCAUUGCACCUGCAGCAGAGAAGUAUAUACAUUUGAAGAACCAGCUACUGGUUAAAAAAAAAAAAAAAAAAGAACCGGCUACUGGUGUGAUACUGGGCCUUGGUAGAGAAUAAACGCUUAACCAUGGGACGCCAAGUAAGCAUGUGUUCAGAACUGCCUCUCAUGGCCCGGAUUCUUUUGGUUCCAAGGACCCAGCAGCAUCUAUUGUAAGAUGGAAAUGGUACCUCUGAGAUGGAGCUCAGGCACAGUUGAGGUACUUGUAAGUUGUAUGACCAGGUAGUCCAGACCCCCGUGUCACCCCCCGCUGCUGCAGCACUACCAUGACCAGCUGAAGGAAGAAGGGUAAAUCCUGAGUUUGGUUUGUGGAUGAGUCAGCUUAGUAUGUGGGUGUAAGCCAAAAUUAGACAGUGACGGCCUUAUAGCCACAUUCUUGAGAGGCUUUGAAAAACAGCGGAAAGGAAAAAAUCUUCUUAAUGAGUAGAGUUACAAGCAUUGUCCCUGGUCAUCUACUUUGUGUAUAAGGAGAAGCAGACUGAACUAAGAAUAUGUAUAAAUAUAGAUUCUUGGGCAGGGGUCAAUGGCCUAGCCCCCUGGUAGGACACCUGGAAGGAAAGGGACUGGAAGAUCAAAGGCAGGAAACUCUGGGGUAGAGUCUUAAGGGUGAAUAUACGGGAGUGGGCAUGAAAUGUGAAGAUUUUUGUAUCAUGUUUUUGUACCCACCAGGGAGGAAGUACUAAACAAUGAAGUAGUCAGAAUGACUCGUCUAAUUGGGUCAACAGGCUCAAGCACUGGCUACUUGGAACCAGCCUAAUGGGCACUGUAGAGGGUUAUAUUGUAUCCCCCCCCAAAGUUUAUAUGCUCAAUUUCUAAUCUCCAACCAGGUGCUGUAGUUCAUUCUACUUAUCUUUCUCUUUUUUUUUUUUUUUUUUUUUUUUUUUUUUGUCUUUUUAGGGCCAUAUCCACAGCAUAUGGAGGUUCCCAGGCUAGAGGUUGAAUCCAAGCUGUAGCCGCUGGCCUACCCUACAGCCACAGCAACACCAGAUCCAAGCUGUGUCUGUGACCUACACCACAGAUCAUGGCAACACCAGAUCCUUAACCCAUAGAGUGAGGCUAGGGAUCGAACCUGCGUCCUCAUGGAUGCUAGUCAGAUUCAUUUCCACUGAACCACGACAGAACUCCUCAUUCCACUAAUCUUUCUUUUCUAAGUUUCUUUUUAGGAGGAGAGGCCCAUGAAAGAGCUUCUUCCCAAACUGGUAGAUCUGUGAGGCGAAGGAGUGGACUGCAGUGUUUCUAAAAAUGGGCCACUGGAUUUCCUGCUGUGCAGAGUGUAGUCAGUUGAUGGCUCCAGUUACUGAGGCCACACUUCCCACACCAUAUUCCUAACUAAUGACUGAGCAUGCGGAGUAAUAACGCAGCUCAUUCCUUCAAGACUUGGGGCUCCCCCAAUGGACCACUUUGGCUAGAGGGAGCUAUUCUUCAGAUUCAGAGUUCAGAGGGAAAUUUAAAGACAGGAGAUUUAUGCAAAGAAAACUUUUAUAGAAAUUAAAGAUAAAAUCAGAAAUUGAUGAAACAGAAAGGAGAAAAUCAACAAAGCCAAAAUUUUAGUAACAUUCAGAAAGAUUAAAAAGAAAAUCAACUCUUAGCAAGACUGCUCAAGGAAAACUUUAAGAAAACACAUUACCAAUAUCAGCAAUAAAAAGGACAUCUCUGGGAGUUUGGGCCUAGCGGUUAAAGAUCCAGUGUUGUCACUGCGUGGCUUGGGUUCGAUCCCUGGCUUAGGAACUUCCACAUGCCUCGGCAUGGCCAAAAAAAAGAGGACAUCACCACAGGUCCUAUAGACAUUAAAAAUAUAAGAAAAUAUCAGGGGCUACAACUUUAUACCAAUAAAAUUGGCAACCUAGAUGAAGUGAAAAAUUUUAUUGAAAAAUAAAACUUGAAACUGAAAUAAUAAUAAUUCUGUAUUUUAAAGGAAUUGAAUUCAUAAUUUAAAACUUUUCUACAAAGAAAACUCCAGAUGGCUUCACUGGUGAAUUCUCUCCAACAUAUAUAUUUCUUUUAGAAAGGCAUAAAAGGCGUAUUCACACUUUCUGAUGCUUAUAUAUCACGCACUCUAUUUGUGCGUUAACUUCCCCCUGCUCCAUGCCUCAUUCAUUUAGCACAUUACGUUAGGAGUCGUAGGUAAAAAGAUGAAUAACGUUUUUGGCAGCAGGAGCUUUCAGAUUGGUGGAAGAAGCAGCCAUGUAAUGUAAAUGCCAUGAAAUAGGUGCUAAUAAAGAUUUUUAUAAAGUACUGUGAGAGAUGGGUGUGAAUCCAGGGAAGGAAAGGCUUUACAGGCAGGAGAAGUGAAACAGUGUGCCAUGUGCUGUAGGCAUAAAAAUAACUGGGAAACAGAGGACAUCCUUUCCCGGUCUUCCUUCCUGGAUCUUCUCCCCUCACAUUUUCAGUACCUCAGGGUUCUUCCUUGACUUCUGUUUUUCAGUCUCCUCCGUUUCAAACACUCUCACAUUCGUCCCUUUCAGAUAUAACUUAAUCAUUCCAAAAUAUGUUAUCUCCAGCCUCCAGCUCUCUCUUGAGCUCCAGGCCUAAGUAUUUAAAUAUCCAGAGAACUCCCCUACUCAAGCGCUUUGUUUCACUCUUGUUCUCCUCUCUUCCCUGCAUCACCAGUCUUCUCUCCCUUCUUGGAAGAGCCCUCCCUUGAUGGCAUGUGCCUCUUCAGCUACUACUAUACUACUUUUCUUCUCCCCUUUAUAUCAUCAUCUCCCUUUCUUUCUACUGUAUCUUAACCUUUUAUGAUACUUAAAAACCUUUCAUGGGUCUUUUAUCCCCAAUAUUCUGCUGAGAUGACCCUUAUCAAGGUCAUCAAUAACCAUCAUGUCGCCAAAUCCAGUUCUCAACUCCUUUGACCUAACGGCAGCAUUGAAGCCGUUGCUCAUGUCCUCCUCUUGAAAGACUUCUACCUGGCUUCACCCGCUGCUGAUUUCCUUCUCACCUCACUGGACGCUCCUUCUUAGUCUCUUGGUCGGAUCUUCUCUCUCAUCACAGCCAUUAAGUAUUAGAGUAUUCUGUUGUUCCAUCCUUGGGCUUCUGCUCAGUUUUUACUUACAAUCAUCUUAGAACUCUUAACCAGUUCUAGCAUCUUAAAUGCCAUUGUAUAAUUCCAAAAAUGUAUAUCUAUAUACUUGACCCCGCCCCUGAACUCCAGACUCAUAUCUCCAGUAGCUACUCUCAUUGGAUGUCUAACAGUAUUCCAAACUAAACAUGUCUAAAAGCAAACUCUAUCAAACCUAAUUCCCUUCAGUCUUCUCCAUCUCAUAAAUGGCUCUAUGAUUCAGUCUGUUGCUCAGGCCAGAAGUGUUGGAGUCAUUGUCAACGUCUCUCUUUUUCUGUUACCCUCAUUCAGUCCAUUAGCACAUUGCAUCAGCUCUGCCUUCAAAAUGUAUCUCAAGUCUGGGAGUUCCUGCUGUGACACAGUGGGUUAAGAAUCUGACUGCGUGGCCCUGGUUGCUGCGGCGGCACAGGCUCAACCCCUGGCCCAGCGCAUUGGAUUAAAGGGUCUGGCAUUGCCACAUCUGUGGCAUAGGUCACAGCUGUGCCUCCAAUUCGAUCCCUGAUGGAUAUAUAUCAAGUAUAUAUAUGCUUGAUAUAUAUAUCAAGUCUGAUCAGUUCUCACCAACUUCUCUCACCUAGACCCCUUCUUCCUAACUGGCUGCCCAGCUUUUACACUUCCCCCACUACAGUCUUUGGGGAGUGAUCUUCUACAGUGUAAGUGAGGACAUACCACUCCUGUGUUCAAAAACCCUCCAAUGAUUCACAUCACACUUAAGAUAAAACCCAGAGUUUUCCCCCAUGGUCUACGAAGACUUGUGAUCUGGCAUCUUGCUCUACUCUGACCUUAGCUUCUUCCAUUCUUCCCCUCCUUUAGUCUGUGCUUCUAUCACGCUAGUCUCCUUGUCAUUCCUGAAACAUAUGACAAGCACAUUCCCUGCACUGGACAUCUGCACUUCCUCUUGACUCUGUCUGGACUACUCUUUCUCCAGGUAUUCACACGGCUCAUUUCCUCUCUGUUCAGAGGGUACCCCUUCAUGGGUACCACUUCAUCUAAAAUAACUUUCUCCUUUAUUUGCUGUGAUUUUACUCUGCUCUAUUUUCUUUCAUAGCUUGUAGCAUUACAGAGAUCAUAUCGUGUGUGCAUUUGUUUGUUGGAAAUGUGUUAUCUGCUUUCCACAGUAGAAUGUGAACUCCACAGGGGCAAGGAAUUCAUCUGUUUUGUUCAGUCACCAAAUCCUAUCAGUUCUACCCCUUAAAAUAUUUUCAGUCCAUCUUCGUCUCCGUUAUCACUACCUUUGCCUUAAUUCAGUUGCCAUCAUCACUUGCUAGGACUAUUAUUGUAUUUUCCUACUUGACUAUCUGCCUUCACCUUCUAUUGAGACCUUUCUCUCACAUGACUACCAAUUCGAUAGCACUAUAGUUAAUAUGUAUUCAUGUCUCUCCUACAUAGAAUCCUUUAUAGGGUACACGCCCUUUGCAUAUUGGGUUAAGUUCAAGCCCCUCAGCACAGCAUCCAAGUCAUCUCCUGCCACCUUUACUUUUACUCUCCAGCAGCACCAAACUGCUUAAAUAGCCUCAUGUCCUUGCCUCUGUUCUUGGGACAUACUGGUUCUUCUAUUUAGAUGCCCUUUCCCGACUCAGAGAUAGAUAAAUAUUUCUUCCUUUGGCUGUACUUCCAUUGCAUUCAUUAUACUGCGAUGGAUUUUUUUUUUUUUCUUACAUGUAGGUCUCUUAUUACAAUGAUCUCUUGGGGGGAGAGAGUUCUAUCUUGUUGAGGUUGCAGCUCCUGUCACACAGUAAUGGGUAGAUGGAGAUGGGAGUAGGGCGUGGAGAAUGUUCAAAGUAGAAAGGACUGCGUGUGUAAUCACUCUGAAGCAUGAGGGGGCUCGGCAUCUUCAGAAAAGAGAGAAGGACUGUGUGACUGAUCUAGUAAGGGGGAGAGUGGCGGGAGGCAAACUGGAAAGACUCUGGGAACCAGAUCAUGCAAGGCCCUUGUCGAACAUGCAAAAGAUGUUGAAUUGUGAGAAAAUGAGAAAUGGAAAGUCUCAAAAAAGCUUUAAGGAGAAAAAGAUGAAGUUUGCAUAAAAAAAAAAAGCACUUUGCUUGCUUUGUAAACAGUAGAUUGAAAGAUAUCAAGAAUGACCAGUGAGGGACCUGCUGGGCACUAUUGUAAUAGUCCAGGCAGAAAGAGAUGAUGCCUUGGCCUGGGCUUUAGCUGUGGGGAUGGUGAGAAGUAAAUAGAUUCAAGUUAUAUCUUGGAGAUAAACUGGAUCAGGUUUAGUGAUAGAAUAAAUGAGGGCGUGAGGAAGGUAGAUAACAUAACUGCUGAAAUGCAGCUGAUUUGCCAGAGGAGGGUCAAAGAAGAAGUAGCUAAGUUUCGAGAAGUUAAGUUUGAGAUGCUUGAGUACGAGACAUGUAAAGGGAUGUGCCAAAAAGGCAGUUGAAUAUGGAGGUAUGAAUUUCAGAAGUGUAACUGAGCUGGAAAAAAAACUGUCAUGAGUACACAGACUGUGUAUAAAUCAUAAGAGAACCUAAGGAGAGAUCACAGUAUAAAGAGAAGAUUAUGGAGGAUGCAUAAUUGAGAAGAAAUUCAUUGGAUUGGAGGAAAUGAGGCAGGAAACUGAGAGGGCCACAUGGACUUUAUAACUGCCCAGGGGGUGGCAGAAGUUGACAGGAAACUUGGAUCCCGCAUUGCUGUGCCUGUGGUGUAAGCCAGCAGCUACAGCUCCAAUUCGACUCCUAGCCUGGGAACCUCCCUAUGCCAGGGGU